UACGAAGGGGGCUAGCGUUGCUCGGAAUUACUGGGCGUAAAGGGAGCGUAGGCGGACAGUUUAGUCAGAGGUGAAAGCCCAGGGCUCAACCUUGGAAUUGCCUUUGAUACUGAUUGUCUUGAGUUUGGGAGAGGUGUGUGGAACUCCGAGUGUAGAGGUGAAAUUCGUAGAUAUUCGGAAGAACACCAGUGGCGAAGGCGGCUCACUGGCCCGAUACUGACGCUCAGGCACGAAAGCGUGGGGAGCAAACAGG
rnacentral:rRNA from 1 species